AGUGAACGCUGGCGGUAGGCCUAACACAUGCCAGUCGAACGGCAGCACAGUAAGAGCUUGCUCUUACGGGUGGCGAGUGGCGGACGGGUGAGGAAUACAUCGGAAUCUACUUUUUCGUGGGGGAUAACGUAGGGAAACUUACGCUAAUACCGCAUACGACCUACGGGUGAAAGCAGGGGAUCUUCGGACCUUGCGCGAUUGAAUGAGCCGAUGUCGGAUUAGCUAGUUGGCGGGGUAAAGGCCCACCAAGGCGACGAUCCGUAGCUGGUCUGAGAGGAUGAUCAGCCACACUGGAACUGAGACACGGUCCAGACUCCUACGGGAGGCAGCAGUGGGGAAUAUUAGACAAUGGGCGCAAGCCUGAUCCAGCCAUACCGCGUGGGUGAAGAAGGCCUUCGGGUUGUAAAGCCCUUUUGUUGGGAAAGAAAAGCAGCAGGUUAAUACCCCGCUGUUCUGACGGUACCCAAAGAAUAAGCACCGGCUAACUUCGUG
rnacentral:rRNA from 1 species